rnacentral:rRNA from 1 species
GCGCAGCAGGCGAGAAACUUCACACUGUGCGAAAGCACGAUGAGGGAAUCCCAAGUGCUUGCACGUAAGUGUAAGCUGUUUCUCUGUCUAAAACGCAGAGAGAGUAAGGGCUGGGUAAGACGGGUGCCAGCCGCCGCGGUAAUACCUGCAGCUCAAGUGGUGACCGUUAUUAUUGGGCCUAAAACGUCCGUAGCCGGUUUAAUAAAUGCCUGGGUAAAUUGUGUAGCUUAACUAUACGAAUUCCGGGUAGACUGUUAAACUUGAGACCGGGAGAAGUUAGAGGUACUCCUGGGGUAGAGGUGAAAAUUCUGUAAUCCUAGGGGGACCACCAGUGGCGAAGGCGUCUAACUAGAACGGGUCUGACGGUGAGGGACGAAG